rfam:Gorilla gorilla gorilla genomic chromosome, chr19, whole genome shotgun sequence
CCAAAAGCUCUUUUAAGAGCUAUCCUCAUUAAUUCCCUCACGUCUU